AUUGAACGCUGGCGGCAGGCCUAACACAUGCAAGUCGAGCGGAUGAGAGGAGCUUGCUCCUUGAUUUAGCGGCGGACGGGUGAGUAAUGCCUAGGAAUCUGCCUGGUAGUGGGGGAUAACGUUCCGAAAGGAACGCUAAUACCGCAUACGUCCUACGGGAGAAAGCAGGGGACCUUCGGGCCUUGCGCUAUCAGAUGAGCCUAGGUCGGAUUAGCUAGUUGGUGAGGUAAUGGCUCACCAAGGCGACGAUCCGUAACUGGUCUGAGAGGAUGAUCAGUCACACUGGAACUGAGACACGGUCCAGACUCCUACGGGAGGCAGCAGUGGGGAAUAUUGGACAAUGGGCGAAAGCCUGAUCCAGCCAUGCCGCGUGUGUGAAGAAGGUCUUCGGAUUGUAAAGCACUUUAAGUUGGGAGGAAGGGCAUUAACCUAAUACGUUAGUGUUUUGACGUUACCGACAGAAUAAGCACCGGCUAACUUCGUG
rnacentral:rRNA from 1 species